UGUAACUGUGUUCGAGAUUGUUUGUUUUUACCGGUUUUUAGUUUUUACGAGGCAAAUUCUACCAGAAAUUUGAUACGUAAAAACAAGUCCCGUAGUUGUAGACUAAUCAUGGUUGUUUAGUGUUACAUAAAUUUUUUGAUUCUACUGUUGCUAGGUAUAUUGUGUCUGACUUUCUGUUGUGUUGUCCGAUUAUCCUAAGGUGUUUGUUCAUAGAAGAUCAUUGGCAUUCCCAAUUGACAACAUCCUGACUAUUUCAUAUAUGUACUAGUACAUCUACUAGUACUAAACACAACUUUAGCUACCAGACAUCAGCUGCUUUAAGACCCAAAAAUUGUCGAUGGAUGAAACAGGCCCUCUCUAACAGAUAAAGGUAGAACUGUACUGCUAUACUUGAACUAGCCUACAUGUGUAAUUGAAACAGUCUGUGGCUAUUUUCACAAAAGAAAUAAGACAACUGUCAAGAUUCUACUAUGUGGAUUGGAUCAGAUCAUCUAUUAAUCCUGCAUCGCUAUUAAGUAUUCGAUGGUGGAAAACUGGAAACUGACGAGAGAUCAGUGACGAUAGUCAUACGAUGUACGAGAUAGUCAUCAUACAAUAAUUCUGGCAUUAUUACGAAAAUUUGAUCAUCCGAGAUAGUCAACAGUACCUCUCACUGGCGUGCCGUCCUUUCGUCGCUCCGAUUGAGCCUGCACCAUGGCCUGAUCCAACUACGCGGCCACCAGCAUCAUUCGACUACCCAACCGACUGCCGGUGAGUCG